UGUUAUUCUAUCCAUCGAUGGAAUUCUGAGUGGCUAACGCUAUCUUAAAAAUGCAUAUCGUUUUGUCAACGAACUAACAUUUGUUUGAUUUGCUACCAGGAAGGGGUUAAAUUUGACGAUUGGUUUUCUGUUUUUGAUUCUAAUUCCAAUGACAUGGCAGUGCCCCAACGGCUAAUACAGUUCUUCGUGAGCACGUGCGUGGUUCUGCUGAUCGUUUGCAGGAGUCCCGAGUCAACGAACUCUGCUCCUUCAGACCAAUCUUUCAGAAGCAAUUUUUGCAACGUCGUCUGCAACAAGGAUCCGCCAGAGGGUGGCAACUUCUGCAACUGUGAUAGGCACCCUCUAGGAAAGAGAUCCCUAACUGAUGAAAGCACAUCCCAGUGAUGCAAAAAGAAGGAAGCUUCCGCUCAGAACAUGUGAAACUGGGAUGAUUUCAAUUUUAGCUGAAACGAACUGCAAUGUGUGGGAAAUAAUCGCUGGGAGUGAAUGAUGAUUCUAUGAGCUUUUAAAAUUUUGUCCUUUUUGACGUGCUGUGAUUUUAGGUUGAAUCAUUGUUUAUUUUAGCUGUGUUUUGAAAUUUAUAAUUUAUAUUCAUGUACAUUACCACAUAGCAAGCAAUAACGAAGUUCAAAUGCGAACAUUUUUAAUGGUCGUUCUUUUUUACUUUGAAGGUUUUGAUGUUAAGGGUAAUUAGUUAAAAUACGUAAUGUUGCGCAUCUAACAAAUGUUACAUUUAAUAUUAUUAUUGUAUUAUCAAGAGAAUUUUAAAUUGUUAAGUAUUUUCACGCAGUUUUUUUUUUUUUUUUUUUUUUUUUUUUUUUUUUUGAUUCAUUGUUUUUAGUUGUGUCUAUUGUUAAAAUUUAGUUCAGUAUAAUUUCUCUUUUUCUCACUCAUUUUGUGUUUUGAAGCAUCAUUAAUGAACUUGUGCAAUAAAUUGUGAUUAUGACCAUA